UACGGAGGAUCCGAGCGUUAUCCGGAUUUACUGGGUUUAAAGGGUGCGUAGGCGGGCGCCUAAGUCAGCGGUGAAAGGCAGCGGCUCAACCGUUGAACUGCCGUUGAAACUGGGCGCCUUGGAUUCGGUCGGGGCCGGCGGAAUGCGUGGUGUAGCGGUGAAAUGCUUAGAUAUCACGCGGAACGCCGAUCGCGAAGGCAGCUGGCCAGGCCGAGAUCGACGCUGAGGCACGAAAGCGUGGGGAUCAAAC
rnacentral:rRNA from 2 species